UCGCUUUCAUCGUUUUUCUCUUAUUUUGAGUCUUUGGUGAUACUUUUCUUGUGAAAAAAAGCACUAUCAAAAUGGACAAGGUCACUUCUACACUUCUCCAGAAUGAGGUUCUUAGACGGAAGAACCAAGCUUCAAGUUUAGAUGGCGACUCUGCUAUGGUGGUGACUGAAGAAGGUGGUGGCAGAGGACAAAGGGGUAGAGAAU
rnacentral:lncRNA from 1 species